AGGGAAUCUUCCGCAAUGGACGAAAGUCUGACGGAGCAACGCCGCGUGAGUGAAGAAGGCCUUCGGGUCGUAAAACUCUGUUGCCGGGGAAGAACAAGUGCCGUUCGAACAGGGCGGCGCCUUGACGGUACCCGGCCAGAAAGCCACGGCUAACUACGUGCCAGCAGCCGCGGUAAUACGUAGGUGGCAAGCGUUGUCCGGAAUUAUUGGGCGUAAAGCGCGCGCAGGCGGCUUCUUAAGUCUGAUGUGAAAGCUUGCGGCUCAACCGCAAGCGGUCAUUGGAAACUGGGGGACUUGAGUGCAGAAGAGGAAAGCGGAAUGCCACGUGUAGCGGUGAAAUGCGUAGAGAUGUGGAGGAACACCAGUGGCGAAGGCGGCUUUCUGGUCUGUAACUGACGCUGAGGCGCGAAAGCGUGGGGAGCAAAC
rnacentral:rRNA from 1 species